rnacentral:misc_RNA from 1 species
AAACCACCCAGUUAUUGGACAUGUAGCAGUUAUUAGACACUUUAGUUUUACAAAACAAAAAUAAGAUUUCUUUUUGAUCUAUUUUCUUCGAUUUCGCAUAGAUGGCAUUAAAAAACAUUUAUGUGGCGGCUGCGCAUAAUGCGCCAUCUUUAAAAUUUGUUUUGGCGGGAAAAUUUACAUCAGCUGUUGAUUGUGUCGAAUACCGGAAUUUUUCUUACGAUAUCGUUAAGAACCCGUUUUCGUGACAAGUGAGGUGCUAAGUGUAAAAUAAGGUAUGUAAUGACGUUUCACUAAGUAUACACAGAGCAAAUAUCAUUUUUCACAUGUUUUUGCAUGCUUAAAACGCAUUUCACGAAGAGUAAAGUUAGAUUUGGGGGGUGUCCAAUAACUAAACUUGAUAACCAAUUUUUUUCAGUUAUUAGACACCUGUCCAAUUACUACUUUUCCUAAAAUCAUUAGGUCUUACAUUACCUAAAAAUGCCCGUUUUCUGCUGAAUCUUAUAACACAAGAAACGUUGGCAUAUAAGUACCCAAAGCAGUUAUUGGACGCCUGUCCAAUAACUAAAUAAAGUUAUGUCCAAUAACUAACACGCUUGUUUUUGUAGGUUAACAUAAUGCCUAAAAGAUCUGUAUAUGAUUCCGAUCUUGUUGAGCCUGCAGUGCAGGAUGUAAAAACUGGCAAACUCUCACUAAGGGCAGCUGCAAAAAAAUAUGGCGUGCCAAAAUCUACCAUUGAAUUUAAAAUGAAAAACCCGGGACACAAAGAUACAUGUGGGCCGCCUCCGAUACUUACAGCAAAAGAGGAAUAUGUGCUGGUCGAAUGGAUAGUGGAACUUGCCAAACGUGGGUUUCCACGUAAAAAGGAAGAUAUCCUUAAUAGCGUCCAAAAAUUUUUGCUGGAGAAUCCCCGACCUAAUCCCUUUAAAAAUAAUAGACCAGGAGACUGCUGGUUUAAGGCUUUUCUUCGAAGACAUCCCAGUAUAGUGCAAAGAACUAGUGAGGCUGUAAGUUCAGCUAGCGCAUGUGUAUCGGAAGCGGAUAUCCGAAAAUGGUUUGCUGAAAUUAAAAUUUACCUCAAAUCUAAAGAUAUUGAUAUGGAAGAUCCGUCCCGUAUAUUUAACGGGGAUGAAACUGGUUUUCAAAUUUGCCCUCAGACGGGUAAAGUUUUUGCCGCAAAGGGGGAGAAAAAUGUAUAUUCAAUUGAAAAAGGUUCUGCAAAAGAUAAUAUUACCGUUAUGUUUUCGUUUGCUGCUUCAGGGAUAAUGUGCCCACCUAUGAUCAUCUUCCCGUACAAGAGAAUACCUGAGAAAAUUGCUGUUACUGUAAACUCGUCUUGGGGAAUCGGUCGUUCAGAUAAUGGGUGGAUGACAUCUGAGACUUUUUAUGAAUAUAUUAAGAAUAUUUUUUACCCCCAUUUGAUAGAAAAUAAUAUUCAGUUUCCAGUGGUUCUUUUUUUGGACGGACAUAAGUCUCAUUUAACGUAUGAACUCAGUUUACUCUGUAAUGAACUGAAUAUAGAGGUCAUCGCUUUAUAUCCCAACGCAACCAGGAUUUUACAGCCCUGUGAUGUUGCUGUUUUUAGGCCAGUAAAAAUGGGCUGGAAGAAAGCGGUUAGACAAUUUUAUGAAGAAAAACCCGGAGAAGUUUUAAACAAAACAUCAUUUGCUCCACUUCUAGAAAAAGUUGUCACUGAAGUAAUCCAGCCCAAUAUAUUAAUAAAUGGAUUUAGGGCAUGCGGGUUGUUUCCCUUUAGCCCAGAUAAUGUAGAUUAUUCAAAGUGUUUAGGGGGAACCAAUAAAUCUGUUAGAGUAAACAAUUUAUAUAAUUUUAGUUUUCAGCUUAUGAUUUAACACCAUUUUUUUUUGCUUUCUUAUACAGGAAAUACCAGAUCCAGGAGCCCAGUUGAAUCACGACAAGUUUCUUUAUUUUGUCGGAAAAGAACUUUUACAAAAAUUUAAACAGUUUGAUACAGUGGUUAUAAAGGAAGGAUUUAAUGAUGAGUUCUUAAAACUUCAUCAAAUGUGGUCAUUCUUAGGUAAACCCGAUGCAAUUAAAAAUGAUGACUUACGCUAUCCUAUUCUAAAUGACACUAACAAUGCAGUAGAACUCACUACCGCAAAUGCAGAAAGUGAAAUUAAGAAGCUAGAAAGAGGUUAUGAAAAUUUGGCUAGUAUUGAAAUCCCCUCUUUAGAAUUUAACAAUAUAGAGCCCGAAAGUCUACAGGGUUCAACUAGAGCAUUACCUUUCGCCUUAAGUCUACCUUCAACAAGUAAAUGUCCGAUGGAAUCCGAUGCAAAUUUUGUAGACGAAUCUGCAAAGUUGGAACAAAUAGUUUCACGACCUGAAAGUUCUGUGGCCAUUAACGAGAAUGAGAUCCAUUUUGCCGAUUCCAGCGUUUUAAAUAUUCCAACAACUGAAGAACCUACCGAUACCCUUUCGAAGCCCGAUAUAGUCUCUCCCGAUAUUUCCAGCGUAGCGUUAAAGAAGAAAAGUAUUGUUGAAUACCUUGAAAUUCCAAAAAAACCUGAAAGAAAAGCUAAACGAAACGUUGAACGGGUUCCCUUUGCGAUUACUUCUAAAUCAUAUCAGGAAUCAUUUGAGGCUAAACGUGCUCUAAAACUAAAAGAGGAAACAAAAAAAUUGGAGAGAAAAAGGCAGAGGGAAGAAAAAAUGUCAACAGCAAAAAAUAAAAAACUUCAUAAAUCGGAAACAAAAUAUAAUCAAUGUUUUAUAUGUAAAAAGUCUAUCAUAAAGGGCCGACGAUUAAAAUGUGACACAUGUAAAAAAGAUUUUCAUGAACGCUGUAUCCCAAAAUCUCACAAGGACCAUAUUCCUGUAGAAGAUGAUGACCUGUUUUUGUGUCACAUAUGUUAUAAGGAAGAAAGUGACGACAACUCUGAAAGUAAUCAAAGUGAAGAAGGAAAUGAAGUAAAAGACUUAAGAAAUUAUACUAAUACAAGUGAAUUAAAAAAUACUGACAAUCAGAAAAAUAUUAUUUCAGAAGAAGACAAUAAAAUCAUAGAAGAAGAAAUAGACGAUUUGUAUAAUUACUACCUACAGAACAAAGACAAAUAAAUGGAAAUACCAGUAAAGAAAAAAAAAUGUUUUAUUUCAUGAUUACAUAAAUCCCCAACAAUAGGUAAAUAGGUAGGUACCACGAUUUAAGUUCAGAUUAAGCUAAAAAUUGUGUUAAAACAAUUGUACCUAACCUGUCCAAUAACUGCCAAAAACGGUGUCCAAAAACUAAAUAAAGUGUCCAUUAACUAAUUUUUUUGAACCUUGUUUAAAUUUUACAUUUUUAUUCAAAAAGGAACACUAAAUUCGCUAAAUAAAACAGAGAAGUGAUAAAAGAAAAGAAAUACCUUUCCAUUUCUGCAAAUGCUGCGCAGAUAAAAUCAAUGGUAAAUUUUCUAUGA